GGAAGCCUAUGAUAUCCUUGUGACAAAAAGAUGCAAGAUUACACAAGGGGAUGGAUACUCAGACCUUACAUACAGAUAGACGAAAAGUAUCCAUCCUAUAAAAAGAUAUUCUGCUAAAAACUCCUACAACUACGACCAGCAACACGCUUCAAGGAGGCUCGAAGUGAUCAUAGGUUCAAUGGCAUCCAGAUCAGAGAAGUCAUUAUGAUCAGGCUUCUGGCAAAACAAAUCCGUGGAAGUACCUAAUUGCAGCUUUAGAUACGUCCUAUUGGUGAUAUUCAUCCUGAAUUUUGUUGAUGCUCAAUCUCCUUCUCCAAUUUUUAAUUACACUAUGAAAAUAGGCAGAAUUAGAAUCGCCAUCUGUAAACCACUUCACUCUGGCCUUUUGCCUAAGGAUACAGUUUUGGAGUUUGAGGUACCUCAUGUAAUAAACUCUAAUUUUGUUAAUAUUGGUUCUGAUAGCCCCAUCGUUAUCAGCAAUCAUUCUCUAA